CAGUAGCCGCGGGAAAACGGAGGGAGCUAGCGUUAUUCGGAAUUACUGGGCGUAAAGCGCACGUAGGCGGCUCUGUAAGUUAGAGGUGAAAGCCUGGUGCUCAACACCAGAACUGCCUUUGAUACUGCAUCGCUUGAAUCAGGAGAGGUGAGUGGAAUUCCGAGUGUAGAGGUGAAAUUCGUAGAUAUUCGGAAGAACACCAGUGGCGAAGGCGGCUCACUGGACUGGUAUUGACGCUGAGGUGCGAAAGCGUGGGGAGCAAACAGGAUUAGAUACCCCUGUAGUCCCUGUCUCUUAUACA
rnacentral:rRNA from 1 species